GCAGUGGUGGUUCAGUGGUAGGAUUCUCACCUCCCGUGUAGGAGACCUGGGUUCGAUUCCCAGCCAGUGCA
rnacentral:tRNA from 1 species